GUAAUGAGGUUCUGAGUAGGAUAGCAAUAGAAAAGUCUAUGCUCAUUUUCUUUCAGCUCUCAAUCCAAAUCCCCUUCCUGUUUUCAGCAGGAUUAUUUGUGCCCAUGAGGGAAACACGAAGGAUUGUCAGUAUUCAUUUGCUAUCAGAACUGCCUUUGAACUUCAGGGAAGCCGCCAUCUUGUUUUAGUUCACUCCUCUAAAGCACAGUGUCUGCAACAUGAAACACUAGUAAGACACAGUUAUCCAGAAAGAGCCCUAGAGAUGGAUAAGGAACCUGUUGGAAUGCUCUGAUAUUAAGAAAAAAAAAAUUAAAUUCAAAACCAAAAACAAGUCACAAG
rnacentral:lncRNA from 10 species